rnacentral:lncRNA from 1 species
GGGCAGCUGUCAACACCCAAUUUCGUCCGGGUGACUAAAUAACAGGGUUUGUUUUUAUUUUAUUUUAUGUUAUUUUGUUCUAUUAUUUUUUUUUUUAUUUUUAGUUUACUUUGAUUUAGUCUUUUUAGUUUUAUCUUAUUUAUUUUAUUUUUUUUAUAUCCUUUUGAAAAAAAAAGGAAAAAAGAAAAAAAAAAGAAAAGAAAAACGAAACAAAAAGAUAAAAAAAGAAUAAGAAAAAAAAAUUAGAAAUAUAAAAGAAAUAAAAAGAAAGGGAAGCACGGCCCAUGAGAUAAUUAAUUUUGGAGAUUUGUAUGUCCAGGAAAAAGGCAUGUUGUUCACACAUAAGUAUUGACAUUGAAUUUUCAAUAAAAAAAAUGGUACAGGUUAUGAAUUGAAGGGGAGGGAGCACAUUUUCAUUGGGAUUCAGUGAUGUCCAAGAAUUAAUUUGGAAGUUGGUUUUCUUUUCUUCGUUGGAAGGUGUACACGGUUUUCUCACAAGGAUUCACUCACUGGUUUCCUAAACUCCUAACCUUCACCACGUUUCCCAUCAUCAUGAUAUCAACACAUCCAAAUGGCUAAAAGGAUUCUCACCGUGGUACCCAACCCAUCAUCCAGGACACCAUUUUCUCCUAGACAAAGCAUCUUCUUC